UGGUGCGUUUUCUCGUUGUACACAGAGCGGAACGCUUUACGACCACGCAGGCUGAAGCGAUUCUGAUUGUCGCUAACAUUUUGUGAACGACUAGCGAUCAAUAAGGAUGAUUGAGGUGGUUUGCAAUGACCGGCUGGGCAAGAAGGUUCGGGUGAAGUGCAACUCAGAAGACACAGU